GUCCACGCCGUAAACGAUGAUAACUAGCUGUCCGGGCACUUGGUGCUUGGGUGGCGCAGCUAACGCAUUAAGUUAUCCGCCUGGGGAGUACGGUCGCAAGAUUAAAACUCAAAGAAAUUGACGGGGGCCUGCACAAGCGGUGGAGCAUGUGGUUUAAUUCGAAGCAACGCGCAGAACCUUACCAACGUUUGACAUGUCCAGUAUGGUUUCCAGAGAUGGAUUCCUUCAGUUCGGCUGGCUGGAACACAGGUGCUGCAUGGCUGUCGU
rnacentral:rRNA from 1 species